GACGAACCGUCCUAACGUUGUUCGGAAUCACUGGGCUUAAAGGGCGCGUAGGCGGUCGGCAAAGUCAGGGGUGAAAUCUUUCGGCUUAACCGGAAAAGUGCCUUUGAAACUAGUCGGCUCGAGUGAGAUAGGGGCAUGUGGAACUUCCGGUGGAGCGGUGAAAUGCGUUGAUAUCGGAAGGAACGCCGGUGGCGAAAGCGACAUGCUGGAUCUCUUCUGACGCUGAGGCGCGAAAGCUAGGGGAGCAAACGGG
rnacentral:rRNA from 1 species